AUCACUUCUCAGCCUAUUGGCUAAAAUCAAGUGUAGUUUCUGUUCUGAUCAGUUUUAAUAUCUGAUAUGUCCUUUCUCUAAUGAUCCUGUAUUAAACUGAUUUUUAGAGCAGGGAGUUGGAAUAGGGGCUUACUCCAUCCACUCUGAGCAUCAACUUGGUAUUGCAGGGCUUCCAGGAAUGGUGCACCCCUC